UGGCGAAACGCUCAAGUCGAGCGUCGUCACGGGGUGGUGCCCGUGACCUGACGAGUCGGUGAUG
rnacentral:hammerhead_ribozyme from 1 species